rnacentral:rRNA from 1 species
UACAGAGGUCUCAAGCGUUGUUCGGAUUCAUUGGGCGUAAAGGGUGCGUAGGUGGCGCCGUAAGUCAGGUGUGAAAUCUCGGGGCUCAACCCCGAAACUGCACUUGAUACUGCGGUGCUCGAGUACUGGAGAGGAGAUUGGAAUUUACGGUGUAGCAGUGAAAUGCGUAGAUAUCGUAAGGAAGACCAGUGGCGAAGGCGGGUCUCUGGACAGUUCCUGACACUGAGGCGCGACAGCGUGGGGAGCAAACAGG